rnacentral:rRNA from 1 species
CCAGUAACGGCGAGUGAAGCGGCAACAGCUCAAAUUUGAAAUCUGACCCCCUUGGGGCCCGAGUUGUAAUUUGUAGAGGGCGUUUCGGGCGCGGCGCCGGUCUAAGUUCCUUGGAACAGGACGUCACAGAGGGUGAGAAUCCCGUACGUGACCGGCGACCAAGCCCAUGUGAAGCCCCUUCGACGAGUCGAGUUGUUUGGGAAUGCAGCUCAAAAUGGGUGGUAAAUUCCAUCUAAAGCUAAAUACCGGCCAGAGACCGAUAGCGGACAAGUAGAGUGAUCGAAAGAUGAAAAGCACUUUGGAAAGAGAGUUAAACAGUACGUGAAAUUGUUGAAAGGGAAGCGCUUGCGACCAGACCGGUCCGGGGGUGAUCAGCCGCUGCUCGUCAGCGGUGCACUCGCCCCCGAUCCGGCCAGCAUCGGUUUGGGCGGUGGGAUAAAAGUCCCGGGAAUGUGGCUCCCCUCGGGGAGUGUUAUAGCCCGGGUCGCAAUGCUGCCCGCCUGGACCGAGGACCGCGCUUCGGCUAGGAUGCUGGCGUAAUGGUUGCAAGCGACCCGUCUUGAAACACGGACCAAGGAGUCUAACAUCUAUGCGAGUGUUUGGGUGUCAAACCCAGGCGCGGAAUGAAAGUGAACGGAGGUGGGAACCCGUCAGACGGCGCACCAUCGACCGAUCCAGAUGUCUUCGGAUGGAUUUGAGUAUGAGCAUAGCUGUUGGGACCCGAAAGAUGGUGAACUAUGCCCGGAUAGGGUGAAGCCAGAGGAAACUCUGGUGGAGGCUCGCAGCGGUUCUGACGUGCAAAUCGAUCGUCAAAUCUAGGCAUAGGGGCGAAAGACCAAUCGAACCAUCUAGUAGCUGGUUCCUGUCGAAGUUUCCCUCAGGAUAGCAGUAACGUUUUCAGUUUUAUGAGGUAAAGCGAAUGAUUAGAGGCCUUGGGGCUGAAACAGCCUUAACCUAUUCUCAAACUUUAAAUAUGUAAGAAGUCCUUGUUACUUAAUUGAACGUGGACAUUUGAAUGCACCGUUACUAGUGGGCCAUUUUUGGUAAGCAGAACUGGCGAUGCGGGAUGAACCGAACGCGAGGUUAAGGUGCCGGAAUGCACGCUCAUCAGACACCACAAAAAGUGUCAAUUCAUCCAGACAGCCGGACGGUGGCCAUGGAAGUCGGAAUCCGCCAAGGAGUGUGUAACAACUCACCGGCCGAAUGAAUUGGCCUUGAAAAUGGAUGGCGCUCAAGCGUGCUACCCAUACCUCGCCGCCCGGGUAGAUACGAUGCCCGGGAGAGUAGGCAGGCGCGGGGGUCCGUGANNNNACCUUGGGAGUAUCCCGGGUCGAACGCCCCC